GUAGUCAUAUGCUUGUCUCAAAGAUUAAGCCAUGCAAGUCUAAGUUUAAGCACCUAAACGGCGAAACUGCGAAUGGCUCAUUAAAUCAGUUAUCGUAUAUUUGAUAGUACCUACUACAUGGAUAACCGUGGUAAUUCUAGAGCUAAUACAUGCUUAAAAUCCCGACUUCGGAAGGGAUGUAUUUAUUAGAUUAAAAACCAAUGCCCUUCGGGGCUCACUGGUGAUUCAUAAUAACUUCUCGAAUCGCAUGGCCUUGCGCCGGCGAUGGUUCAUUCAAAUUUCUGCCCUAUCAACUUUCGACGGCUGGGUCUUGGCCAGCCGUGGUUACAACGGGUAACGGAGGGUUAGGGCUUGACCCCGGAGAAGGAGCCUGAGAAACGGCUACUACAUCCAAGGAAGGCAGCAGGCGCGCAAAUUACCCAAUCCCGACUCGGGGAGGUAGUGACAAUAAAUACUGAUACAGGGCUCUUUUGGGUCUUGUAAUUGGAAUGAGUACAAUUUAAAUCCCUUAACGAGGAACAAUUGGAGGGCAAGUCUGGUGCCAGCAGCCGCGGUAAUUCCAGCUCCAAUAGCGUAUAUUAAAGUUGUUGCAGUUAAAAAGCUCGUAGUUGAACCUUGGGCCUGGCUGGCCGGUCUGCCUCACCGCAUGCACUGGUCCGGCCGGGUCUUUCCCUCUGGGGAGCCGCAUGCCCUUCACUGGGUGUGUCGGGGAACCAGGACUUUUACUGUGAAAAAAUUAGAGUGUUCAAAGCAGGCAUAUGCUAGAAUACAUUAGCAUGGAAUAAUAGAAUAGGACGUUUGGUUCUAUUUUGUUGGUUU
rnacentral:rRNA from 1 species